rnacentral:ncRNA from 1 species
UUAAACGAGAGUUUGAUCCUGGCUCAGGAUGAACGCUGGCGGCGCAUUUAAGACAUGCAAGUCGAACGAAAAUUUACGCUUAAAGAGUUGAUUAGUUUACUAAGAGAUGAUUUAUUGUAAAUUUUAGUGGCGGACUGGUGAGUAAUACAUAGGUAAUCUGCCUUUUAGAGGGGAAUAACUAGGAGAAAUCCUAGCUAAUACCGCGUAAGACCACACUUAGACAUCUAAGAGAGGUCAAAGGAGUAAUCCGCUAAAAGAUGAGCCUGUGGCUGAUUAGUUAGUUGGUGGGGUAAGAGCCUACCAAGACGAUGAUCAGUAGCCGAGCUGAGAGGCUGGCCGGCCACAUUGGGACUGAGAUACGGCCCAGACUCCUACGGGAGGCAGCAGUUGGGAAUAUUGGACAAUGGAGGAAACUCUGAUCCAGUGACGCCGCGUGAAGGAAGAAGGUCUUCGGAUUGUAAACUUAUUUUAUCAGGGAAGAAGAAAGUGACAGUACCUGAAGAAAAAGGACCGGCAAACUACGUGCCAGCAGCCGCGGUAAUACGUAGGGUCCAAGCGUUAUCCGGAUUUACUGGGUGUAAAGGGCGAGUAGACGGCGCUGUAAGUCAGCUGUGAAAACUUAGGGCUCAACCUUAAGCCUGCAGCUGAAACUGUAGUGCUAGAGUGCAGGAGAGGUAAGCGGAAUUCC